ACCCCUCUGGUGGCGGGGUCCCGAGCCACCACCUCCCUGUUGGACUUGCCCGGACACUGUCCGGGCAUUUUU
rnacentral:ncRNA from 1 species